rnacentral:rRNA from 1 species
UACGUAGGGCGCAAGCGUUGUCCGGAAUUAUUGGGCGUAAAGGGCUCGUAGGCGGUUUGUCGCGUCGGGAGUGAAAUCCACUGGCUUAACUGGUGGCUUGCUUUCGAUACGGGCAGACUAGAGGUAUGCAGGGGGAGAAUGGAAUUCCUGGUGUAGCGGUGAAAUGCGCAGAUAUCAGGAGGAACACCGGUGGCGAAGGCGGUUCUCUGGGCAUUACCUGACGCUGAUGUGCGAAAGCGUGGGGAGCAAACAGG